rnacentral:rRNA from 1 species
AUUGAACGCUGGCGGCAGGCCUAACACAUGCAAGUCGAGCGAGUGGCGGACGGGUGAGUAAUGUCUGGGAAACUGCCCGAUGGAGGGGGAUAACUACUGGAAACGGUAGCUAAUACCGCAUACCAUCGGAUGUACCCAUAUGGGAUUAGCUAGUAGGUGGGGUAAUGGCUCACCUAGGAGACGAUCCCUAGCUGGUCUGAGAGGAUGACCAGCCACACUGGACCUGAGACACGGCCCAGACUCCUACGGGAGGCAGAAGUGGGGAAUAUUGGACAAUGGGCGAAAGCCUGAUGCAGCAAUGCCGCGUGUAUGAAGAAGGCUUUCGGUUUGUAAAGUACGUUCAGCGGGGAGGCGUUACCUGCAGAAAAAGCACCGGCUAACUCCGUGCCAGCAGCCGCGGUAAUUC